GAUGAACGCUGGCGGCGUGCCUAAUACAUGCAAGUCGAGCGAACAGACGAGGAGCUUGCUCCUCUGACGUUAGCGGCGGACGGGUGAGUAACACGUGGAUAACCUACCUAUAAGACUGGGAUAACUUCGGGAAACCGGAGCUAAUACCGGAUAAUAUAUUGAACCGCAUGGUUCAAUAGUGAAAGACGGUUUUGCUGUCACUUAUAGAUGGAUCCGCGCCGCAUCAGCUAGUUGGUAAGGUAACGGCUUACCAAGGCGACGAUGCGUAGCCGACCUGAGAGGGUGAUCGGCCACACUGGAACUGAGACACGGUCCAGACUCCUACGGGAGGCAGCAGUAGGGAAUCUUCCGCAAUGGGCGAAAGCCUGACGGAGCAACGCCGCGUGAGUGAUGAAGGUCUUCGGAUCGUAAAACUCUGUUAUUAGGGAAGAACAAAUGUGUAAGUAACUAUGCACGUCUUGACGGUACCUAAUCAGAAAGCCACGGCUAACUACGUG
rnacentral:rRNA from 1 species